AUACCUGUUUGAAUUACAUAUACUAUGAACAACAAGAACCUACUGAUAACAAAGGAUUCAUAGAUUGUUCUGUUGCUAAGAAAUUUGCUCAAUUCAUUAAUAUAUCAAUAACUCCAGUCACACUAAAACAUGGAAUUAUGCAUGAGCUAUUUGAAAGGAUCACUACAAAUCAAGAGAUCCAUAGAAUGGGGUAUACUGCAUGCCACACUGACGCAUAACUUCAAAAAUUAUA